UGCCAGCCGCCGCGGUAAGACGGAGGGUGCAAACGUUGCUCGGAAUCACUGGGCAUAAAGGGCACGUAGGCGGUCCGCUCAGUCGGAUGUGAAAGCCCCCGGCUCAACCGGGGAAUUGCAUUCGAUACUGGCGGGCUCGAGGAUGGUUGGGGUGAGUGGAACUCCAGGUGGAGCGGUGAAAUGCGUAGAUAUCUGGAGGAACACCGGUGGCGAAAGCGGCUCACUGGACCAUUUCUGACGCUGAGGUGCGAAAGCGUGGGGAGCAAACAGGAUUAGAUA
rnacentral:rRNA from 1 species